GAAACACCGGUUCCCGUACAAUCACCGAAGUUAAGCAACGUCGAUCCUGGCUAGUUUCACGAUGGGUAACAGCUUGCGAAUACCAGGUACUGUAA